GCCUGGCUGGCUCAGUGGGUGGAGUAUGUGACUCUUGAUCUCGGGGUUGUGAGUUCAAGUCCCAUGUUGGGUG
rnacentral:tRNA from 1 species